rnacentral:rRNA from 1 species
GAUGAACGCUAGCGGCAGGCUUAAUACAUGCAAGUCGAGGGACAGCACAGGUAGCAAUACCGGGUGGUAACCGGCAAACGGGUGCGGAACACGUACACAACCUUCCUUUAAGUGGGGGAUAGCCCAGAGAAAUUUGGAUCAAUACCCCGUAAUAUAGUUGAAUGGCAUCAUUUGAUUAUUAUGACUACGGCGCUUAAUGAUGGGUGUGCAGCUGAUUAGAUAGUUGGCGGGGUAACGGCCCACCAAGUCUACGAUCAGUAGCUGAUGUGAGGGCAUGAUCAGCCACACGGGCACUGAGACACGGGCCCGACUCCUACGGGAGGCAGCAGUAAGGAAUAUUGGUCAAUGGACGCAAGUCUGAACCAGCCAUGCCGCGUGAAGGAUUAAGGUCCUCUGGAUUGUAAACUUCUUUUAUUUGGGACGAAAAAGGGCCUUUCUAGGUCAACUGACGGUACCAGAUGAAUAAGCACCGGCUAACUCCGUGCCAGCAGCCGCAGUAA